CACACACACACGCACACACGCACACACGCACACACACACGCUCACACGCGCACACGCACACACGCGCACACUCACGCGCGUGAGCGUAGAGAGAGAGAGCGAGCAGGUGUAUUUGACCUGAUCUUAAACAUGAUGUUCAUAUUUUUCACCUGAUGACAGAGAACAUUUGAGAAACAGCACAUGUAACGGACCGCAGGACCAAAGAGCAUCUUUCAGAAUGAAAUGCAGACCCACCCAGGGGACAACAAAGCGCCACCUCGUUUCACAUGAAAAGCCAGAUGCAUGUGAGGAUGUGUGUGACUAACCUCUGGAAACACAACUGUGUCUGCACAGACCUCACUUGUUAAUGGCAUAUUCAUAAGGUUGCUGUGGAUUACUGCUGUUUCACCUGCAGCUUAGAGAAAUAAAGCCACACAACCCAGCCUUCAUCUCGCUCAAUGUGUUUGUGCUAAUGACUUACACAUGUCUCCAUUAAGACU